GAGGGGGGGGGGAGAAGGGGAUAAGGACAAAAGCAGCAGGGAGUUAAUCGAAUAAGCAGAGGGAAAGACAUGGAGAGCUCAGCACCUUGCAGUAAAGGCGUGAGUGGCAACCAUUGGAGAGAAAGGACUUGAUGCACCAGAGCAAGCAGAAGUGCUUUGUCCACAUCUUUUCAGCUCUGUUCUUCACCUGAGGAUGGCUGCUUGCGUUGUGGCCGAAACGUCGUGAGAAUUUUAUUGUUUUAUUUUUAUUAUUUUAUUAUUUCCCUUCUACAUGACUUUACCGAAAGAACCAAGAAUAUGAAUCCCUGCAGUCACGAAAGGUUUAAAUCGAGAUUUUCAGAUUCAUAAAAAAUCGAGCCACAAUUGUGCGUCUCAUUGGAAUUGAUUAUGAUUGAAUGCUGGUAUCAUGAAAGUCACAUCAGAUUUUUGAAGUUUUAUCCAGUCAACUUUUUUUAGAUACAGAAUUAUAAAAAUCUGCUUGCAUGUUAUAGGUACAAAACAAUUACACCACAAUACAUAAACCACUAAUUAGAGAUAAACUUUGAAAGUCACAAGGCAUUGAACUAGGACUACAUAUUUGCAUUUCAACGACCUUUGAAGUUGAAAAAGUCUACGAAAUAUGAUCACUGUUGACCAUGAGGAAAAUAUAUUCUGCACCACUAAGCACAGAAAUGUGCAUCCGUACAUUAUUGCACAUUUAUAUUUACAAUUUUAUUAUGAGACAUAAUUUCAAGAUCAGAUUUGUUAUGCUAAUACGUACAUGUCAAAGCAUGUGUUUAUUUCACAAAAAAGUAUGCUGCCUUACUGCCUAGCAUGUUAAUAUCUAAUCAACACUAACCACUGAGUGUGUUUUGAUGUCUUUUCAAUUGCACUAUUGUCCGACACUCGCUUUAUGAUGCUAAUUCCCUCAUCUGCAUUUGCACGAGACAUGAAUGAGAAUGUAAGGGGAAGCGGCAUGUGUGCGUGGUUGAUAGCAGGCACAGGAAGGCAGUCCCAGAAGAGUGGAACAGACUUCCUAAUCCAUUUCUCUCGCUGUCAGACAUGAUGACACCUGGGAACAGCUGAAAAAAAAACCUUUUUGGUCGCAGC